rnacentral:rRNA from 1 species
CCUACGGGGGGCAGCAGUGGGGAAUAUUGCGCAAUGGGCGAAAGCCUGACGCAGCGACGCCGCGUGAGGGAUGAAUGUCUUCGGAUCGUAAACCUCUUUCAGCAGGGAAGAACGGUCACUGUGCUAAUCAGCAGUGAAUUGACGGUACCUGCAAAGGAAGCACCGGCUAACUCCGUGCCAGCAGCCGCGGUAAUACGGAGGGUGCGAGCGUUAAUCGGAAUUACUGGGCGUAAAGCGCUCGUAGGCGGUAUGUCAAGUCAAGGGUGAAAUCCCCGCGCUCAACGUGGGAACUGCCUUUGAAACUGGCAGACUGGAGUGUGUGAGAGGAUAGUGGAAUUCCAGGUGUAGGAGUGAAAUCCGUAGAUAUCAGGAGGAACAUCAGUGGCGAAGGCGACUAUCUGGCACAUAACUGACGCUGAGGAGCGAAAGCGUGGGUAGCAAACAGGAUUAGAUACCCCUGUAGUC